CUUAAAGGAAGUUGACGGGGACCCGCACAAGUGGUGGAGCAUGUGGUUUAAUUCGAAGAUACACGAAGAACCUUACCUGGCCUUGACAUGGUAGGAACCCUUAAGAGAUUAGGGGGUGCUAGCUUGCUAGAACCUACACACAGGUGCUGCACGGCUGUCGUCAGCUCGUGUCGUGAGAUGUUCGGUUAAGUCCGCUAACGAGCGCAACCCUCGCUGUGUGUUACAAGUGUCACACGGAACUGCCGGUCAUAAACCGGAGGAAGGUGGGAUGACGUCAAGUCAGCAUGGCCUUUAUAUCCUGGGCUACACACACGCUACAAUGGGAAAGGACAAUAGGUAGCGAAACCGCGAGGUGGAGCCAAUCCAGCAAAAUUUCCCUCAGUUCAGAUUGCAGGCUGCAACUCGCCUGCAUGAAGUUGGAGUUGCUAGUAAACGCAGGUCAGCCAUACUGCGUUGAAUACGUUCCCGGGGCUU
rnacentral:rRNA from 1 species